rnacentral:sRNA from 1 species
AAAGUGCUUUCUGACAGCUCUCUAACUAUUCACUGGUGCCAAUUUCUUGAACUUUAAAGUCAUAAUUUUCCUUUCUUUUUGUAGGAGAACAAACAAGAUGUAAGAAUCCUGAGGGGUUCGCAGAGAGCACGGAGGAAAAGACGAGGGGAUUCGGCUGUAUUAAAGCAGGGUUUGCCUCCUAAAGGAAAGAAAGCGUGGUGCUGGGCAUCCUACCUGGAAGAGGAGAAAGCGGUGGCAGUGCCGGCGAAGCUGUUCAAGGAGCAUCAAUCCUUUCCAUAUAACAAAAAUGGAUUCAAAGUUGGCAUGAAAUUAGAAGGCGUGGAUCCCGAGCAUCAGUCUGUGUACUGUGUCCUCACCGUCGCGGAGGUUUGUGGAUACCGGAUAAAGCUUCACUUUGAUGGGUAUUCUGAUUGCUAUGACUUCUGGGUGAAUGCAGACGCUCUGGAUAUCCACCCAGUUGGGUGGUGUGAGAAAACCGGCCACAAACUCCAUCCUCCAAAAGGGUAUAAAGAAGAAGAAUUCAAUUGGCAGACCUAUCUUAAGA